rnacentral:rRNA from 1 species
GAUGAACGCUGGCGGCGUGCCUAACACAUGCAAGUCGAGCGAACGGACCAGAAGCUUUCUUCUCUGAUGUUAGCGGCGGAGGGGUGAGUCACACGUGGAUAAACUACCUACCCGACUGGGAUAAUUAUGGGAAACCGUGUCUACUGCCGGAUAAUUUUUUGCACCUGGUUGUUCAAACGUGAAAGUAGGUCUUUCUGUCACUUAUAGCUGGCUCCGCGCUGCAUUGGCAGGUUGGUAAGGUAACUGAUUACCAAGGCUACGAUGCAUAGCCGCCCUGAGAGGGGGAGACGCCACGCUGGAACUGAGGCACGGUCCAGACUCCUACGAGAGGCAGCAGUAGGGAAUCCUCCGCAAUGGGCGAAGUCCUGACGGAGCAACGCCGCGCGAGAGAUUGAGGCCGUCGGGUCGUAAAACUGUGUUAGGAGGGAAGAACAUAUGUGUAAGUAACUGGGCACAUCUUGACGUUACCUAAUCAAAAAGCCACGGCUAACUACGUG